rnacentral:rRNA from 1 species
UAGAUGCGAGAGUAGAGCAUAUCAAUAAGCGGAGGAAAAGAAACUAACAAGGAUUCCCUUAGUAACGGCGAGUGAAGCGGGAAGAGCUCAAAUUUGAAAUCUUCAAGGUUCUACCUUGACGAAUUGUAGUUUAUAGAAGUGUUUUCUGUUAGUGGAGUGGCAAAAGUUCUUUGGAAUAGGACAUCAUAGAGGGUGAGAAUCCCGUAUUUGGUCAUUCCUUCUAGCUGUGUGAUACACUUUCAAAGAGUCGGAUUGUUUGGGAAUGCAGUCCAAAAUGGGUGGUAAAUUUCAUCUAAAGCUAAAUAUUGGCGAGAGACCGAUAGCGAACAAGUACCGUGAGGGAAAGAUGAAAAGAACUUUGAAAAGAGAGUUAAACAGUACGUGAAAUUGUCAAAAGGGAAGCGUUUGACACCAGUGUUGUUUUCUCGAAAAUCAAUUAAAAAUGACCGGAUUUUGUGUUGUAUUGACUUUAUCAGCUUUCUGCACUUUUUUCUUGUCUUUUUUAAUGCACUUUUCGUUUAACAAGUCAACAUCAAUUUCUUUUGUUGUAAAAGGGUCAUUGGAAGGUGGCUUUCAUUUCGGAUGAAAGUGUUUAUAGCCUUUGACUUCUGCAGUCGGAGAGAUUGAGGUCUGCAGCGUAGAUCCUUCGGGGUUAGAUACAUUUGUGCUAAGUUAUAGUUUUUCAUAGACAACAUGUUGACUAUGAUUAAGUCAUGUACUUACUCGCAUGAUGCUAUUUUACCUACGCUUAGGAUGUUGAUAGUCACAGCGUGUAC